rnacentral:ncRNA from 1 species
AAGAUUUUUUGAUUUCGGUAUCGCUGUAUCUCAUCGCCAUUCGUACUUCUCCUUUGACCUCGGCUAAAUUAGCCGGGGUUUUU